GACGAACGCUGGCGGCGUGCUUAACACAUGCAAGUCGAGCGGAAAGGCCACUUCGGUGGUACUCGAGCGGCGAACGGGUGAGUAACACGUGAGUAAUCUGCCCCUGGCUUUGGGAUAGCCACCGGAAACGGUGAUUAAUACCGGAUACGACCACUUCUCGCAUGGGAUGGUGGUGGAAAGUUUUUUCGGCCAGGGAUGUGCUCGCGGCCUAUCAGCUUGAUGGUGAGGUAAUGGCUCACCAUGGCUUCGACGGGUAGCCGGCCUGAGAGGGUAACCGGUCACACUGGGACUGAGACACGGCCCAGACUCGUACGGGAGGCAGCAGUGGGGAAUAUUGGACAAUGGGCGGAAGCCUGAUCCAGCAACGCCGCGUGAGGGAUGACGGCCUUCGGGUUGUAAACCUCUUUCAGCAGGGACGAAGCGCAAGUGACGGUACCUGCAGAAGAAGCACCGGCCAACUACGUGCCAGCCGCCGCGGUAA
rnacentral:rRNA from 1 species